UGAGGAAUCUCGCGCAAUGGGGGAAACCCUGACGCAGCAACGCCGCGUGAGUGAGGAAGGUCUUCGGGUCGUAAAGCUCUGUCAGGCGGGAAGAAAUGGAUGGAGGUGAACAGCCGCCAUGCUUGACGGUACCGCCAGAGGAAGCACCGGCUAACUCCGUGCCAGCAGCCGCGGUAAUACGGGGGGUGCAAGCGUUGUUCGGAAUCAUUGGGCGUAAAGAGCGUGUAGGCGGCUUGGUAAGUCAGAUGUGAAAGCCCCGGGCUCAACCCGGGAAGUGCAUUUGAAACUGCCAGGCUCGAGUAGGGGAGAGGGAAGUGGAAUUCCUGGUGUAGAGGUGAAAUUCGUAGAUAUCAGGAGGAACACCGGUGGCGAAGGCGACUUCCUGGCCCUAUACUGACGCUGAGACGCGAGAGCGUGGGUAGCAAACAG
rnacentral:rRNA from 1 species